rnacentral:rRNA from 1 species
AAUCAACGCUGGCGGCGUGCCUAACACAUGCAAGUCGAGCGGUAGCACAGAGAGCUUGCUCUCGGGUGACGAGCGGCGGACGGGUGAGUAAUGUCUGGGAAACUGCCCGAUGGAGGGGGAUAACUACUGGAAACGGUAGCUAAUACCGCAUAACGUCACAAGACCAAAGAGGGGGACCUUCGGGCCUCUUGCCAUCGGAUGUGCCCAGAUGGGAUUAGCUAGUAGGUGGGGUAACGGCUCACCUAGGCGACGAUCCCUAGCUGGUCUGAGAGGAUGACCAGCCACACUGGAACUGAGACACGGUCCAGACUCCUACGGGAGGCAGCAGUGGGGAAUAUUGCACAAUGGGCGCAAGCCUGAUGCAGCCAUGCCGCGUGUAUGAAGAAGGCCUUCGGGUUGUAAAGUACUUUCAGCGGGGAGGAAGGCGAUAAGGUUAAUAACCUUGUCGAUUGACGUUACCCGCAGAAGAAGCACCGGCUAACUCCGUGCCAGCCGCCGCCGUAACAC